rnacentral:rRNA from 1 species
GACGAACGCUGGCGGCGUGCCUAAUACAUGCAAGUAGAACGCUGAAGAGAGGAGCUUACUCUUCUUGGAUGAGUUGCGAACGGGUGAGUAACGCGUAGGUAACCUGCCUUGUAGCGGGGGAUAACUAUUGGAAACGAUAGCUAAUACCGCAUAACAAUGGAUGACACAUGUCAUUUAUUUGAAAGGGGCAAUUGCUCCACUACAAGAUGGACCUGCGUUGUAUUAGCUAGUAGGUGAGGUAAUGGCGCACCUAGGCGACGAUACAUAGCCGACCUGAGAGGGUGAGCGGCCGCACUGGGACUGAGACACGGCCCAGACUCCUACAGGAGGCAGCAGUAGGGAAACUUCGGCAAUGGGGGCAACCCUGACCGAGCAACGCCGCGUGAGUGAAGAAGGUUGUCGGAUCGUAAAGCUCUGUUGUAAGUCAAGAACGGGUGUGAGAGUGGAAAGUUCACACUGUGACGGUAGCUUACCAGAAAGGGACGGCUAACUACGUG